rnacentral:rRNA from 1 species
AUGUCGUCGCUCCACAGGUGCCUGCCGUGGCUGAUCCUCCUCCUGGUGCUCCGCGACGGCGGCGGGGGGACGGCGGUGGCGGCUGCCGGGAAGGUGCCGGCGAUCAUCGUGUUCGGCGACUCCUCGGUGGACACGGGCAACAACAACUUCAUCCCGACCAUCGCGCGGAGCAACUUCUGGCCCUACGGGCUCGACUUCGCGGACGGCCACCCCACGGGCCGCUUCUCCAACGGCCGCCUCGCCACCGACUUCAUCUCGGAGGCCUUCGGCCUGCCGGCCUCCAUCCCGGCCUACCUCGACACCACGCUCACCAUCGACGACCUCGCCGCGGGCGUCUCCUUCGCGUCCGCCUCCACCGGCCUCGACAACGCCACCGCCGGCAUCCUGUCCGUGAUCACCAUGGCGGAGCAGCUCGAGUACUUCAAGGAGUACAAGCUGCGGCUGAAGCUGGCCAAGGGCGACGCGCGCGGCGAGGAGAUCAUCCGCGAGGCGCUCUACAUCUGGAGCAUCGGCACCAACGACUUCAUCGAGAACUACUACAACCUGCCGGAGCGCCGGAUGCAGUACACGGCGGCGGAGUACGAGGCGUACCUGCUGGGGCUCGCCGAGUCGUCCAUCCGCGCCGUGCACGCGCUCGGCGGCAGGAAGAUGGACUUCACGGGGCUCACGCCCAUGGGCUGCCUCCCCGCCGAGCGCAUGGGCAACCGCGGCGACCCCGGGCAGUGCAACGAGGAGUACAACGCCGUCGCCCGGAGCUUCAACGCCAAGCUGAAGCAGGCCGUCGUCCCCAAGCUCAACAAGGAGCUCCCCGGCCUCCACCUCGUCUACGCCGACACCUACGACGUCCUCGACGCCGUCGUCAGGAAGCCGGCCGACUACGGUUUUGAGCACGCAGAGCGAGGGUGCUGCGGGACGGGGAUGUUCGAGGCCGGCUACUUCUGCAGCCUGAGCACCUCGCUGCUAUGUACGAACCCCAACAAGUACGUCUUCUUCGACGCCAUCCAUCCCACGGAGAGGAUGUACAAUAUGCUUGCCGAUAAAGUCAUGAACACCACGCUUCAUGUAUUUCUCUGA